rnacentral:rRNA from 1 species
UACGUAGGUGGCGAGCGUUGUCCGGAUUUACUGGGCGUAAAGGGAGCGUAGGCGGGCUUUUAAGUGAGAUGUGAAAUACUCGGGCUCAACUUGAGUGCUGCAUUUCAAACUGGAAGUCUAGAGUGCAGGAGAGGAGAAUGGAAUUCCUAGUGUAGCGGUGAAAUGCAUAGAGAUUAGGAAGAACACCAGUGGCGAAGGCGAUUCUCUGGACUGUAACUGACGCUGAGGCUCGAAAGCGUGGGGAGCAAACAGG